GGAUGUGAGGGCGAUCUGGCUGCGACAUCUGUCACCCCAUUGAUCGCCAGGGUUGAUUCGGCUGAUCUGGCUGGCUAGGCGGGUGUCCCCUUCCUCCCUCACCGCUCCAUGUGCGUCCCUCCCGAAGCUGCGCGCUCGGUCGAAGAGGACGGCCUUCCCCGAAUAGAGACGGACCGGUCUUCGGUCGAGGGUAUACGAGUAGCUGCGCUCCCCUGCUAGAACCUCCAAACAAGCUCUCAAGGUCCAUUUGUAGGAGAACGUAGGGUAGUCAAGCUUCCAAGACUCCAGACACAUCCAAAUGAGGCGCUGCAUGUGGCAGUCUGCCUUUCUUU
rnacentral:snRNA from 12 species